rnacentral:tRNA from 1 species
GCCAACGUAGCUCAGUGGCAGAGCAGCGGUUUCGUAAACCGCAGGUCGUGGGUUCGAAUCCCACCGUUGGCUCCA